UUGGACACGGGGCCUUUUGUGAGGUCAUUAAGGUUGAUAAGGUCAUAAGGGUGGGGCCCUAAUCCCCCAGGACUGGUGUCCGUAUAAGAAGAGGAAGAGACACCAGAGAGUCUGUGUGUGUGCAGAGGAAAGGCAUGUGAGGACACUGGGAAAAGGUGGCUGUCUCUAAGCCAAGAAGAGCAGUCCCACCAGAAACCAACCCUGCUGUCACCUUGAUCUUGGACUUCGAGCCUCCAGAACUGCAAGAAAAUCAAUUUCUGUUGUUUAAGCCCCCAAAAGGAAAACUCAAACUCAGGGGCUCAAGGACAUGUCAAAGGCACAGACAUAUGUUCCUGCAUUGAUCAAAUCAGGCUGUGCAGGUGGUUCGCUGCUCUGUGCAUCUCCGUGCAUCUGUGUGGAGCUGUUCCACGAACUGGCCACCUCGUACUGGAAAAGACGAGCAGGACCAGCACAGCACUCGUAUCUAAAUGCAUAAACAGGGGGCCUGCUCUCCACGUGUAAACUGAUCUGGUGCAAUUCAGAUAGAAUAUAUUCUAGGACUGGUGCCUUCUUCAACUCAUGCAAAUAAAAGUGCAGCAUGGUCCAAAGUACUGGAGUCAUGAGAAGGUAAGGGGGAAACAGCAGGCUGAGGACAAUGCCUUGAAAGUUCCAUCUAAUUUGAAAACAUCAUAGAUACUCAAGCAGAACUACACCUGCAUUGCUUUCACCUAAUCCUCCUCUCUUCUAAGAUGUGAAAUUGUUUGUCCCCGAGGCAAUUCAUCCAUGUUAUUUCUCACUUAAAAUUGCUCCUAAACAUGUUUGGAUACUGAAAAAGUCAAA
rnacentral:lncRNA from 1 species